AAACUUAAUUAUAAAAUUUCUUCCCAAAAGUCUUUGGAACCUAUCAUGUAGAGUUGUGUUGGCUUAAAUGAACCAGUAUCCUACUUUAUGAUAGAAGAUUACAUUCGGUCAAUUCACGUUUAAAAUGGUAUGAGGUUGGAUUGAGCCGACUCAUAUUCGAAGUGGCAUAAGACCGGUUGGAUUUAGUCACAAUCGAGAUUCGUUAAUGCUGUGUUUGUAUACUUUAAGUAAAUUAGUUACGUAUUUUUAAAAUUGUUGGCUUAAAUAGACAAAUUUUCUGCUCUAUGGCGCGAGACUAUUGAAUCUGAGUUAUGUUCGGAAUGACAUAAGACCGGUUGGGUCGAGUCACAAUCGAGAUCCGUAAGCACUGUAUCUGUACGUUUGAAAUGAAUUAAUUAUAAAUUUAUAAAAACUUGAAUUUUUGAAAUUAAUUAUUAGCGCUAACGAUCUUACAAGAUGAAUAAACAGAUGUG
rnacentral:lncRNA from 1 species